GACUGAGACAAGUGUGCGAGCGGGGAAUUCUGAUGUGUAUGGAUUCCUCGAGCCACAGUCCAUUCAGAGAUCUGGGCAAUCACAAUUUGAAUCCGAAAGUUACAUCAAGAGUUGGAUACAGAGUUCAAAACGAGAUGUUUACCUUGGAGUCUACCUGAAUGGCGGACACUGGCAAAUGGUCGUCAUUCUGCCUAAG